rnacentral:rRNA from 1 species
GGGUUGUGAGGUUAAGCGACUAAGCGUACACGGUGGAUGCCCUGGCAGUCAGAGGCGAUGAAGGACGUGCUAAUCUGCGAAAAGCGUCGGUAAGGUGAUAUGAACCGUUACAGCCGGCGAUGUCCGAAUGGGGAAACCCAGUGUGAUUCGUCACACUAUCGUUAACUGAAUACAUAGGUUAACGAGGCGAACCGGGGGAACUGAAACAUCUAAGUACCCCGAGGAAAAGAAAUCAACCGAGAUUCCCCCAGUAGCGGCGAGCGAACGGGGAGCAGCCCAGAGUCUGAAUCAGCUUGUGUGUUAGUGGAACGGUCUGGAAAGUCCGACGGUACAGGGUGAUAGUCCCGUACACCAAAAUGCACAGGUUGUGAACUCGAAGAGUAGGGCGGGACACGUGGUAUCCUGUCUGAAUAUGGGGGGACCAUCCUCCAAGGCUAAAUACUCCUGACUGACCGAUAGUGAACCAGUACCGUGAGGGAAAGGCGAAAAGAACCCCGGCGAGGGGAGUGAAAAAGAACCUGAAACCGUGUACGUACAAGCAGUGGGAGCACCUUCGGGUGUGACUGCGUACCUUUUGUAUAAUGGGUCAGCGACUUAUAUUCUGUAGCAAGGUUAACCGUAUAGGGGAGCCGCAGGGAAACCGAGUCUUAACUGGGCGUUAAGUUGCAGGGUAUAGACCCGAAACCCGGUGAUCUAGCCAUGGGCAGGUUGAAGGUUGGGUAACACUAACUGGAGGACCGAACCGACUAAUGUUGAAAAAUUAGCGGAUGACUUGUGGCUGGGGGUGAAAGGCCAAUCAAACCGGGAGAUAGCUGGUUCUCCCCGAAAGCUAUUUAGGUAGCGCCUCGUGAAUUCAUCUUCGGGGGUAGAGCACUGUUUCGGCUAGGGGGUCAUCCCGACUUACCAACCCGAUGCAAACUACGAAUACCGAAGAAUGUUAUCACGGGAGACACACGGCGGGUGCUAACGUCCGUCGUGAAGAGGGAAACAACCCAGACCGCCAGCUAAGGUCCCAAAGUCAUGGUUAAGUGGGAAACGAUGUGGGAAGGCACAGACAGCCAGGAUGUUGGCUUAGAAGCAGCCAUCAUUUAAAGAAAGCGUAAUAGCUCACUGGUCGAGUCGGCCUGCGCGGAAGAUGUAACGGGGCUAAACCAUGCACCGAAGCUGCGGCAGCGACACUAUGUGUUGUUGGGUAGGGGAGCGUUCUGUAAGCCUGCGAAGGUGUGCUGUGAGGCAUGCUGGAGGUAUCAGAAGUGCGAAUGCUGACAUAAGUAACGAUAAAGCGGGUGAAAAGCCCGCUCGCCGGAAGACCAAGGGUUCCUGUCCAACGUUAAUCGGGGCAGGGUGAGUCGACCCCUAAGGCGAGGCCGAAAGGCGUAGUCGAUGGGAAACAGGUUAAUAUUCCUGUACUUGGUGUUACUGCGAAGGGGGGACGGAGAAGGCUAUGUUAGCCGGGCGACGGUUGUCCCGGUUUAAGCAUGUAGGCUGGUUGUCCAGGCAAAUCCGGAUAAUCAAGGCUGAGGUGUGAUGACGAGGCACUACGGUGCUGAAGUAACAAAUGCCCUGCUUCCAGGAAAAGCCUCUAAGCAUCAGGUAACAUCAAAUCGUACCCCAAACCGACACAGGUGGUCAGGUAGAGAAUACCAAGGCGCUUGAGAGAACUCGGGUGAAGGAACUAGGCAAAAUGGUGCCGUAACUUCGGGAGAAGGCACGCUGGUGUGUAGGUGAAGUCCCUGCGGAUGGAGCUGAGACCAGUCGAAGAUACCAGCUGGCUGCAACUGUUUAUUAAAAACACAGCACUGUGCAAACACGAAAGUGGACGUAUACGGUGUGACGCCUGCCCGGUGCCGGAAGGUUAAUUGAUGGGGUUAUCCGUAAGGAGAAGCUCUUGAUCGAAGCCCCGGUAAACGGCGGCCGUAACUAUAACGGUCCUAAGGUAGCGAAAUUCCUUGUCGGGUAAGUUCCGACCUGCACGAAUGGCGUAAUGAUGGCCAGGCUGUCUCCACCCGAGACUCAGUGAAAUUGAACUCGCUGUGAAGAUGCAGUGUACCCGCGGCAAGACGGAAAGACCCCGUGAACCUUUACUAUAGCUUGACACUGAACAUUGAGCCUUGAUGUGUAGGAUAGGUGGGAGGCUUUGAAGCGUGGACGCCAGUCUGCGUGGAGCCAACCUUGAAAUACCACCCUUUAAUGUUUGAUGUUCUAACGUUGGCCCCUGACCGGGGUUGCGGACAGUGUCUGGUGGGUAGUUUGACUGGGGCGGUCUCCUCCCAAAGCGUAACGGAGGAGCACGAAGGUUAGCUAAUCCUGGUCGGACAUCAGGAGGUUAGUGCAAUGGCAUAAGCUAGCUUGACUGCGAGCGUGACGGCGCGAGCAGGUGCGAAAGCAGGUCAUAGUGAUCCGGUGGUUCUGAAUGGAAGGGCCAUCGCUCAACGGAUAAAAGGUACUCCGGGGAUAACAGGCUGAUACCGCCCAAGAGUUCAUAUCGACGGCGGUGUUUGGCACCUCGAUGUCGGCUCAUCACAUCCUGGGGCUGAAGUAGGUCCCAAGGGUAUGGCUGUUCGCCAUUUAAAGUGGUACGCGAGCUGGGUUUAGAACGUCGUGAGACAGUUCGGUCCCUAUCUGCCGUGGGCGCUGGAGAAUUGAGGGGGGCUGCUCCUAGUACGAGAGGACCGGAGUGGACGCAUCACUGGUGUUCGGGUUGUCAUGCCAAUGGCACUGCCCGGUAGCUAAAUGCGGAAGAGAUAAGUGCUGAAAGCAUCUAAGCACGAAACUUGCCCCGAGAUGAGUUCUCCCUGAGACUAUAAGUCUCCUGAAGGAACGUUAAAGACGAUGACGUUGAUAGGCCGGGUGUGUAAGCGCAGCGAUGCGUUGAGCUAACCGGUACUAAUGAACCGUGAGGCUUAACCUUACAACGCCGAAG